AUGAAUUGGGUAAGGAACAGUUAAUAAGAAAAUGUGCCUUGCUAACUGUGCACAUUACAACAAAGAGCUGGCAGCUCCUGAAGGAAAAGGGCUUGUGCCGCUGCCGUUCAAACUUGUCAGUCAACUCAUGCCAGCAGCCUCAGCGUCUGCCUCCCCAGCACACCCUCAUUACAUGUGUCUGUCUGGCCUGAUCUGUGCAUCUGCUCGGAGACGCUCCUGACAAGUCGGGAAUUUCUCUAUUUCUCCACUGGUGCAAAGAGCGGAUUUCUCCCUGCUUCUCUUCUGUCACCCCCGCUCCUCUCCCCCAGGAGGCUCCUUGAUUUAUGGUAGCUUUGGACUUGCUUCCCCGUCUGACUGUCCUUGACUUCUAGAAUGGAAGAAGCUGAGCUGGUGAAGGGAAGACUCCAGGCCAUCACAGAUAAAAGAAAAAUACAGGAAGAAAUCUCACAGAAGCGUCUGAAAAUAGAGGAAGACAAACUAAAGCACCAGCAUUUGAAGAAAAAGGCCUUGAGGGAGAAAUGGCUUCUAGAUGGAAUCAGCAGCGGAAAAGAACAGGAAGAGAUGAAGAAGCAAAAUCAACAAGACCAGCACCAGAUCCAGGUUCUAGAACAAAGUAUCCUCAGGCUUGAGAAAGAGAUCCAAGAUCUUGAAAAAGCUGAACUGCAAAUCUCAACGAAGGAAGAGGCCAUUUUAAAGAAACUAAAGUCAAUUGAGCGGACAACAGAAGACAUUAUAAGAUCUGUGAAAGUGGAAAGAGAAGAAAGAGCAGAAGAGUCAAUUGAGGACAUCUAUGCUAAUAUCCCUGACCUUCCAAAGUCCUACAUACCUUCUAGGUUAAGGAAGGAGAUAAAUG
rnacentral:lncRNA from 1 species